rnacentral:rRNA from 1 species
UACGGGGGGGGCAAGCGUUGUUCGGAAUUACUGGGCGUAAAGGGCUCGUAGGCGGCCAACUAAGUCAGACGUGAAAUCCCCGGGCUUAACCUGGGAACUGCGUUUGAAACUGGGGAGCUGGAGUGUAGAAGAGGGGGGUGGAAUUCCAGGUGUAGCAGUGAAAUGCGUAGAGAUCGGGAGGAACAUCAGUUGCGAAGGCGGCUCUCUGGACCAGCACUGACACUGAGGCACGAAAGCGUGGGGAGCAAACAGG